UACGUAGGGUGCAAGCGUUGUCCGGAAUUAUUGGGCGUAAAGGGCGCGUAGGCGGCCAUUCAAGUCGGGGGGUGAAAGCCUGUGGCUCAACCACAGAAUUGCCCUUCGAUACUGUUUGGCUUGAGUUUGGUAGAGGUUGGUGGAACUGCGAGUGUAGAGGUGAAAUUCGUAGAUAUUCGCAAGAACACCAGUGGCGAAGGCGGCCAACUGGUCCGGUACUGACGCUGAGGUGCGAAAGCGUGGGGAGCAAACAGG
rnacentral:rRNA from 1 species